GACGAACGCUGGCGGCGUGCUUAACACAUGCAAGUCGAACGAUGAAGCCGGAGCUUGCUCUGGUGAAUUAGUGGCGAACGGGUGAGUAACACGUGAGUAACCUGCCCUUGACUCUGGGAUAACUGCUAGAAAUGGUAGCUAAUACCGGAUACGACCCUCGGAGGCAUCUCCAGGGGGUGGAAAGAAUUUCGGUCAAGGAUGGACUCGCGGCCUAUCAGCUAGUUGGUGAGGUAAUGGGUCACCAAGGCGACGACGGGUAGCCGGCCUGCGGGGGUGACCGGCCACUGGGACUGAGACACGGCCCAGACUCCUACGGGAGGCAGCAGUGGGGAAUAUUGCACAAUGGGCGCAAGCCUGAUGCAGCAACGCCGCGUGAGGGAUGACGGCCUUCGGGUUGUAAACCUCUUUUAGUAGGGAAGAAGCGAAAGUGACGGUACCUGCAGAAAAAGCACCGGCUAACUACGUGCCAGCAGCCGCCGUAA
rnacentral:rRNA from 1 species